GAAGAGGAGGAGGAGGAGGUGGAGGAAACGAGGUUGGAAAUCGCGAGACCUCUCUCGAGGUCGUGCCUUUUCCGCCCCCGGAAAUUCGACCCCUUAUUCUCGUACCUCGUUUACCAUGCGCCGUUUCCCUCAAACAGCGGCAAAUC